UACGGAGGAUCCGAGCGUUAUCCGGAAUUAUUGGGUUUAAAGGGUUCGUAGGCGGCUUUGUAAGUCAGUGGUGAAAUUUCCUAGCUUAACUAGGACACUGCCAUUGAUACUGCAGAGCUUGAAUAAUAUGGAAGUAACUAGAAUAUGUAGUGUAGCGGUGAAAUGCUUAGAUAUUACAUGGAAUACCAAUUGCGAAGGCAGGUUACUACGUAUUUAUUGACGCUGAUGAACGAAAGCGUGGGGAGCGAACAGG
rnacentral:rRNA from 1 species